rnacentral:tRNA from 1 species
UGUCUAGGGAUGGGAAUCGAACCCACAGUGAUCCGCUUACCAGGAAGAUAUCAUGUCCACUAUGCUACCCAGGAC